rnacentral:rRNA from 1 species
CCUUUCGGGGGGCCGCGGGGGGGAAUUGUUCACAAUGGGCGCAACCCUGACGCCUCAACCCCGCGUGGGGGAGGUAGAUCCUUGGGGUUUUAAACUCCUUUUGAAUGGGAAGAAAUGGGCGAGGGGUAAUAUCCUUUUGUGGUUGACGGUACCUGUUGAAAAAUCCCCCGCUAACUAUGUCCCCGCAGCCGCGGUAAUACGGAGGGCGCGAGCUUUUUUUGGAUUUAUUGGGUGUAAAGCGCGUGUAGGCGUGCCUUCUACAGUCAGUAUGUGAUUUUCCCGGGCUCAAUCGGGGAGGUCCAUUUGAUACUGGACGGCUUGAGUCCGGGAGAGCAAAGUGGAAUUCCUGGUGUACCGGUGAAAUUAGUAGAUAUAUGGAGGAACACCGGUGGCGAAGGCGGCAUCCUGGUCCAGCAAUGACGCUCAGGCGCGAAAGCGAGGGGAGCAAACUGGAUUAGUUACCCUGGUAGUUUCUUCCCCUCUUUUAAAAACU